rnacentral:rRNA from 1 species
UAAGAGAGCCACACCGAGGAUGCUCCACCUGAUCCCAUUCCGAACUCAGAAGUGAAAUUCCUCAGGGCCGAUGGUAGUGCUUAGGCGCGAGAGUAGGUAGCUCUCUUAU